rnacentral:rRNA from 1 species
UAAAGCACUUUAAGCGAGGAGGAGGCUACUGAGACUAAUACUCUUGGAUAGUGGACGUUACUCGCAGAAUAAGCACCGGCUAACUCUGUGCCAGCAGCCGCGGUAAUACAGAGGGUGCGAGCGUUAAUCGGAUUUACUGGGCGUAAAGCGUGCGUAGGCGGCUUUUUAAGUCGGAUGUGAAAUCCCCGAGCUUAACUUGGGAAUUGCAUUCGAUACUGGGAAGCUAGAGUAUGGGAGAGGAUGGUAGAAUUCCAGGUGUAGCGGUGAAAUGCGUAGAGAUCUGGAGGAAUACCGAUGGCGAAGGCAGCCAUCUGGCCUAAUACUGACGCUGAGGUACGAAAGCAUGGGGAGCAAACAGGAUUAGAUACCCUGGUAGUCCAUGCCGUAAACGAUGUCUACUAGCCGUUGGGGCCUUUGAGGCUUUAGUGGCGCAGCUAACGCGAUAAGUAGACCGCCUGGGGAGUACGGUCGCAAGACUAAAACUCAAAUGAAUUGACGGGGGCCCGCACAAGCGGUGGAGCAUGUGGUUUAAUUAGAUGCAACGCGAAGAACCUUACCUGGCCUUGACA